rnacentral:rRNA from 1 species
GACGAACGCUGGCGGCGUGCUUAACACAUGCAAGUCGAACGGAAAGGCCCUGCUUUUGUGGGGUGCUCGAGUGGCGAACGGGUGAGUAACACGUGAGUAACCUGCCCUUGACUUUGGGAUAACUUCAGGAAACUGGGGCUAAUACCGGAUAGGAGCUCCUGCUGCAUGGUGGGGGUUGGAAAGUUUCGGCGGUUGGGGAUGGACUCGCGGCUUAUCAGCUUGUUGGUGGGGUAGUGGCUUACCAAGGCUUUGACGGGUACCCGGCCUGGGAGUGUGACCGGCCACAUUGGGCCUGAGAUACGGCCCAGACUCCUACGGGAGGCAGCAGUGGGGAAUAUUACACAGUGGGCGGAAGCCUGAUGCAGCAACGCCGCGUGCGGGAUGACGGCCUUCGGGUUGUAAACCGCUUUCGCCUGUGACGAAGCGGGAGUGACGGUAAUGGGUAAAGAAGCACCGGCUAACUACGUG